AUUGAACGCUGGCGGCAUGCUUUACACAUGCAAGUCGAACGGUAACAGGCCUUCGGGUGCUGACGAGUGGCGGACGGGUGAGUAAUGCAACGGAACGUGCCCAGAGGUGGGGGAUAACGCAGCGAAAGCUGUGCUAAUACCGCAUGUGAUCUGAGGAUGAAAGCGGGGGACCAGGCAGCAAUGUUUGGCCUCGCGCCUUUGGAGCGGCCGAUGUCGGAUUAGGUAGUUGGUGGGGUAAAGGCCUACCAAGCCGACGAUCUGUAGCUGGUCUGAGAGGACGACCAGCCACACUGGGACUGAGACACGGCCCAGACUCCUACGGGAGGCAGCAGUGGGGAAUUUUGGACAAUGGGCGCAAGCCUGAUCCAGCAAUGCCGCGUGCGGGAAGAAGGCCUUCGGGUUGUAAACCGCUUUUGUACGGAACGAAAAGGCUCUGGCUAAUACCUGGGGCUGAUGACGGUACCGUAAGAAUAAGCACCGGCUAACUACGUG
rnacentral:rRNA from 1 species